rnacentral:rRNA from 1 species
UGGCUCAGGACGAACGCUGGCGGCGUGCCUAACACAUGCAAGUCGAGCGGGGACAUACGACGGAGAGGAAGUUUCGGAUGGAAUCGAAGAUGUAUGUCUAGCGGCGGACGGGUGAGUAACGCGUGAGCAACCUGUCCUUCACAGGGGGAUAACACAGCGAAAGUUGUACUAAUACCGCAUAAGACCACGGCAGGGCAUCCUGGUGAGGUCAAAGGAGCAAUCCGGUGAAGGGUGGGCUCGCGUCCGAUUAGAUAGUUGGUGAGGUAACGGCCCACCAAGUCAACGAUCGGUAGCCGACCUGAGAGGGUGAUCGGCCACAUUGGGACUGAGACACGGCCCAAACUCCUACGGGAGGCAGCAGUGGGGAAUAUUGCACAAUGGGGGAAACCCUGAUGCAGCGACGCCGCGUGAGUGAAGAAGUAUUUCGGUAUGUAAAGCUCUAUCAGCAGGGAAGAAAAUGACGGUACCUGACUAAGAAGCCCCGGCUAACUACGUGCCAGCCGCCGC